rnacentral:rRNA from 1 species
CCUACGGGUGGCAGCAGUCGAGAAUCAUUCACAAUGGGGGAAACCCUGAUGGUGCGACGCCGCGUGGGGGAAUGAAGGUCUUCGGAUUGUAAACCCCUGUCAUGUGGGAGCAAAUUAAAAAGAUAGUACCACAAGAGGAAGAGACGGCUAACUCUGUGCCAGCAGCCGCGGUAAUACAGAGGUCUCAAGCGUUGUUCGGAAUCACUGGGCGUAAAGCGUGCGUAGGCUGUUUCGUAAGUCGUGUGUGAAAGGCGCGGGCUCAACCCGCGGACGGCACAUGAGACUGCGAGACUAGAGUAAGGGAGGGGGAACCGGAAUUCUCGGUGUAGCAGUGAAAUGCGUAGAUAUCGAGAGGAACACUCGUGGCGAAGGCGGGUUCCUGGACAUUAACUGACGCUGAGGCACGAAGGCCAGGGGAGCGAAAGGGAUUAGAUACCCUGGUAGUC